rnacentral:rRNA from 1 species
AUGCUUCUCUUGUCGGUCUGGAGUUGGGAACGCUUGCCAGUUGGGCGGCCAACGCCUACGGGUCUUGGUUAUGAGCCAUGGGAUGAUCAUGAUGACCCGCACCGUAUGCCUACAUGGGCGUAUAAGUGGGACAAGGUUGAAGGUUUUGUUGGCAAUUCAAAGACCAUGUAUUUGCACUAUUGCAACGAGCUCGACAUCAUGACCCCGGAGCAGGUUAGUUUGUUGGCUGUGUUGCCCCUUCGGUUUUCCAAAAAUCAUAGUAAGCAUCUAUUUUAUUAUUUGACGCUACAGGUGACCUGGGAGCCAUACAGAAUGGCAGGCAAUAUUGGCAGAAGUCUCACUUUCAGAUUGAACCGAAAGUUUUAUGAAGAAGCAAACCUAUGGCGGAUGCGUUGCCCAUUGAUUUGUUACUAUGCUGUUGAGUUUCAUCAGCCACAACGGGUUAUGACACAGUUUGGCUUAUAUCAGGAGACCCCGCCAAAGUACAAGGACACUUCGAUACAUCUGCAUAGGUAA